rnacentral:rRNA from 1 species
AUCCGAAGGGGGCUAGCGUUGCUCGGAAUGACUGGGCGUAAAGGGUGCGUAGGCGGCGCUGUAAGUCAGACGUGAAAUUCCUGGGCUUAACCUGGGGACUGCGUUUGAGACUGUGGUGCUAGAGGGUGGAAGAGGCUCGUGGAAUUCCCAGUGUAGAGGUGAAAUUCGUAGAUAUUGGGAAGAACACCGGUGGCGAAGGCGGCGAGCUGGUCCAUUACUGACGCUGAGGUGCGAUAGCGUGGGGAGC